CACAGUGUAGCUUAUUAAAAAGCAUCUGGCUUACACCCAGAAGAAUUCAUUAAAUAUGGACACUUUGA
rnacentral:tRNA from 1 species